CCUUGUACACACCGCCCGUCACGUCAUGGGAGCCGGCAACACCUGAAGUCGGUGGGCCAACCGCAAGGAGGCAGCCGCCGAGGGUGGGGUUGGUGACUGGGACG
rnacentral:rRNA from 1 species